rnacentral:rRNA from 1 species
UGGGGAAUAUUGCACAAUGGGCGCAAGCCUGAUGCAGCCAUGCCGUGUGUAUGAAGAAGGCCUUCGGGUUGUAAAGUCCUUUCAGUGGGGAGGAAGGGAGUAAAGUUAAUACCUUUGCUUAUUGACGUUACCCGCAGAAGAAGCACCGGCUAACUCCGUGCCAGCAGCCGCCGUAAUACGGAGGGUGCAAGCGUUAAUCGGAAUUACUGGGCGUAAAGCGCACGCAGGCGGUUUGUUAAGUCAGAUGUGAAAUCCCCGGGCUCAACCUGGGAACUGCUUCGGAUACUGGCAAGCAUGGGUCUCGUAGAGGGGGGUAGAAUUCCAGGUGUGGCGGUGAAAUGCGUGGGGAUCUGGGGGAAUACCGGUGGCGAAGGCGGCCCCCUGGACGAAGAUUGACGCUCAGGUGCGAAGGGGUGGGGAGCAAAAAGG